GCCGAAGGGCGGGAGGACGGGGGUUGUGGAGGGGAGGAUGGAGGUUGGGGAGACAGGGCGGGGACGAGAUAAGAGGUCGGGGGGUGGGGAGGAUGGUCGCGGGGCGGUCUGGGGCUGGAGACAAGGGGCCUGAGGUGCGGGUACGCACUGAACAUUCCAACCGUCCCCAGCCGGCCGGGUUUCAGGUUUGAAAAGAAAUGUGGUUUACAGCUUCUAUCAGGAUUAGCUUCAGCUUCAAGUGACAAAAGUCACUUGAAAUAUGAGUUGCUGAAACAAGAUGGCAGUCUCUCCCCUCAACAGGACUGUUACAACACCUUAUCUUCAGAGAACCAGGCUCUCUGCAACAUUUCAGGGACGUCGUUCAGUACCUUAUGUGGAAUUCAAGCUUAGCUGGGCAUCCUAUGUUUUAACUGGCUAACUCGUGGAACUCUCAACUUGGAUCAAGUGGUAGUGGAGUCCCAGGGACUCUGAGCAGCCAGUGUGUGAUACUGCAGGGCAGCACACCCUGGGGAGGCCAACUGUACAGAAUAAAAUUAAUGCUUUCUA
rnacentral:lncRNA from 10 species